GGAGACACAAGCCAAAACACAAAUCAUCUAAGGACAGCUUUGCCACGAUUCACCCAACCCCGGGUGAGGAGUAUGAAAAACUCUAGGAGCCCCUAUCCUACAACCUUGAUACUAGACCUCCAGGCUUUCCUAUCAACGGUUAUGUCCUCGGAAACCCGCAUUUUAGCCAUGUCAUGCCUAAUCACCUCUCCCCAAGACUUCUUAGGCCUCCCUCUGCC
rnacentral:lncRNA from 1 species